rnacentral:rRNA from 1 species
GAUGAACGCUGGCGGCGUGCCUAAUACAUGCAAGUCGAGCGAACGGACGAGAAGCUUGCUUCUCUGAUGUUAGCGGCGGACGGGAGAGUAACACGUGGAUAACCUACCUAUAAGACUGGGAUAACUUCGGGAAACCGUAGCUAAUACCGGAUAAUAUUUUGAACCGCAUGGUUCAAAAGUGAAAGACGGUCUUGCUGUCACUUAUAGAUGGAUCCGCGCUGCAUUAGCUAGUUGGUAAGGUAACGGCUUACCAAGGCAACGAUGCAUAGCCGACCUGAGAGGGUGAUCGGCCACACUGGAACUGAGACACGGUCCAGACUCCUACGGGAGGCAGCAGAAGGGAAUCUUCCGCAAUGGGCGAAAGCCUGACGGGGCAACGCCGCGUGAGUAAUGAAGGUCUUCGGAUCGUAAUACUCUGUUAUAAGGAAAGAACAGAUGUGUAAGGAACUGUGCACAUCUUGACGGUACCUAAUCAGAAAGCCACGGCUAACUACGUG